rnacentral:tRNA from 1 species
UCUUGAAUAGCUCAGUCAGUAAAGCAUGAGACUCUUAAUCUCAGGGUUGUGGGUUUGAGACCCACAUUGGGCA